UGGAUCUCUUGCCUCUGUGAAGUAUCCGGAGGACCGUUGCCUUGCACCGUUUCAGAGGCGAAAACUCUGAAGCUAUCAAGUCCCUCUCGAUCUCCAAGUAUCCAUCUCAAGUUCGUUGAUCGACACUCACCUGAACCUCCAUGGACGAGUUUAAUCAGCACUCGUGGUUGAAGAUCCCUCCUCGACAAGGUAUAUGCAUGACGAUUACCAGAUAAUGGCCGUGCUCCAGGCGACUGAAGCCAGAAAAUGGCGACGUUACAUUCAAUGCUUGAAUACGUCGAUCAUUGAUGAGGUUGAGUUGGUUUCUUUAGCAGAGCAGAGCUCCCAGGAUGUGCGCAAGGAAGAUGAUAGGAAGAAGACGACAGGGCAAAACAGAAGAAUAAGAAGGAGAGAAGAGAAUAAAUAGGAAAAUGGGCCUCUCAAUGGACAAUGAAUUCAUUGUGGGCUUAGCAUGAGAGAGUUGGGUUAUUGCCGUUAUGUUCAAUUCGGUUUUACUGGUGAUUGGGCUAUGGAUCUCGUUUUUCUUCACGAAUUUGGGUUUGAUUAGUUUCAGGUGGGAAUUGGGCUCAAUUAUAUGAUAUGAGCCCAGUUUGAAUUUUUGAUCGAGCCCUCUUAAGGCGAUAAGCCCAAUGAAUCAUGCCCAUAGAUCUGAUAUGUGUCAGCCCGUGUCCGUGCCGGGUCUGAAGGCCCAGCCUAGACCCCUUUUUUCGAAAUAUAUAAUAAGAAUAAUAAAUGAAUAAAAUUUAAUGAUAUAAAAAUAUAAAAAUAGAAAAAAAGUGAAAUAUGGUUAGAAACAUAGAGCUUGAUUAGGUCGGUAAGCCUCAGUGUUCUUGAAAAAUAGGGACAACAUGUAAAAACUCUAAUAAACUUGCUGGAGGAGGAGGAUACUGUGGAAAGAAGUGAGAAUUUUGGAGGAAAAUUGAAGCAAAUUGACUAAACAAUUGAAGUUCCUCUCGAAUUUCCUACAAAUCCUUGUCUCAUCUCAUUGCAGACCAUGUAAAACUCCCCUCAAAGCCAAGUAAGCUCGGUAGAGAGCCCCCACCAACGGAUCACCUUCAUUUUCAAUCCAUGCUGGAAUAUCCUACUUCCAUGUUCAACAAAGUGGGAAAGAUGAAGAGAAUCUAAUGGUCACCGUUCCAAAGAUGAUUGAGGAAUCAGACCUUGCAAUCAUCAUUUUUUCUGAGGACAACAUCUAUUCGGAGUUGUGUUUGGAAGAAGUGGUGAAGAUCAUGGAGUGCAAGAAGCAAAGAGACCUCAAGUUCUUUCUGUUGUUUUACAAAGUGAAAUUAGAUACGGUAAGUGAAUUGAAAGGGAGUUACCGAACUAGUCUUGAAUAUUUUUAAAAGAGGCUUUGUAAGGAUGUGAAGAGAUUGAUGAGAUGGAAGAACACUCUCCACAAGGCGGGUAGCUUGUCCAGGCGGUACUUGGAUGAUGAUGAGUAAGUAGUAAUUUUGCCUCUC